rnacentral:rRNA from 1 species
AUUCCAGCUCCAAUAGCGUAUAUCUAAGUUGUUGCAGUUAAAAAGCUCGUAGUUGGAUUUCGGGUGAGGAUGACCGGUCUGCCGUUGCGGUACGCACUGGACGUUUUCAUCUUGUUGUCGGGGACGCGCUUCUGGGCUUCACUGUUCGGGACGCGGAGUCGGCGCUGUUACUUUGAAAAAAUUAGAGUGUUCAAAGCAGGCAAUCGCUCUGAAUACAUUAGCAUGGAAUAACGCUAUAGGACUCUGGUCCUAUUGUGUUGGUCUUCGGGACCGGAGUAAUGAUUAAGAGGGACAGUUGGGGGCAUUCGUAUUUCAUUGUCAGAGGUGAAAUUCUUGGAUUUAUGAAAGACGAACUUCUGCGAAAGCAUUUGCCAAGGAUGUUUUCAUCA